UACGUAGGGGGCGAGCGUUGUCCGGAUUCAUUGGGCGUAAAGCGCGUGCAGGCGGCCUGGUAAGUCGGCCGUGAAAGCGCCCGGCUUAACCUGGCGAGGUCGGGCGAGACUGCUAGGCUGGAGGCCGGUAGAGGGCGGUGGAAUUCCGGGUGUAGUGGUGGAAUGCGUAGAGAUCCGGAGGAACACCAGUGGCGAAGGCGGCCGCCUGGGCCGGACCUGACGCUGAGACGCGAAAGCGUGGGGAGCAAACAGG
rnacentral:rRNA from 1 species